rnacentral:ncRNA from 1 species
CAAAGGCUUGGUCCCGACUUUACCGUCAGCUUUAACCAGAUUUACACAUGCAAGUCUCCGCACCCCCGUGAGGAUGCCCUCAAUUUCCCACCCGGAAACGAGGAGCCGGCAUCAGGCACACCCCCGUGGCCCAAGACGCCUUGCUAAGCCACACCCCCAAGGGAAUUCAGCAGUGAUAGAUAUUAAGCCAUGGGCGAAAGCCCGACUUAGUUAAAGUUAAAUAGGGCCGGUAAAACUCGUGCCAGCCACCGCGGUUAUACGAGAGGCCCGAGUUGACAGACACCGGCGUAAAGAGUGGUUAGAGGAGAUAUAAACUAGAGCUGAACUUCCCCCCGGCUGUUAUACGCACCCGAGAGAACGGAACCCCACCCACGAAAGUGGCUUUACCUUCGCCUGACCCCACGACAACUAAGAGACAAACUGGGAUUAGAUACCCCACUAUGCUUAGCCGUAAACCCUGAUAUUAAAAUACAACUAAUAUCCGCCCGGGAACUACAAGCGCCAGCUUAAAACCCAAAGGACUUGGCGGUGCCUUACACCCACCUAGAGGAGCCUGUUCUAGAACCGAUAACCCCCGUUCAACCUCACCACCCCUUGUCAUCCCCGCCUAUAUACCGCCGUCGUCAGCUUACCCUGUAAAGGGCCCACAGUAAGCAAAAUGGGCACAACCCAGAACGUCAGGUCGAGGUGUAGCGUACGGGGUGGGAAGAAAUGGGCUACAUUUCCUGAACCAGGAUAUCACGAAAGGUGCCAUGAAACCUCGCACCCGAAGGUGGAUUUAGCAGUAAGGGGGGAGCAGAGCGCCCCCCUGAAGACGGCUCUAAGGCGCGUACACACCGCCCGUCACUCUCCCCGAGUUCAUUGCCAGUAGUAACUAAAAAGUUUCUCGAACCAAGGGGAGGCAAGUCGUAACAUGGUAAGUGUACUGGAAAGUGCACUUGGAACAAC